GUUUCAGGGCGGAGUGAAAUUCUCCACCGGUGGUAAAGUCCACGAGCCGAGCAGUAACUGCAAGGCCGAUUCGGUGAAAUUCCGAAACCGACGGUAUAGUCCGGAUGAAAGAAU
rnacentral:ncRNA from 1 species